UUCAUCAAAAUACUUGAGAUACAAUUUUUUUAUCAAAAUAUGUUGACAGAAUAGUUUUAUUGAUGCCACGCGAAUUCUAUUCACUGUUUACUUUAGAUUCAUUGAUAGACUAUAGAAAUUUAUUUAAUCCAUACUAAUAU